rnacentral:tRNA from 1 species
AAAUAAGAAGCAAAACAUUGUAUUUAGUUUCGACCUAAAAGUUUGAUUUUUUAUAAAUCCUUAUUUU